CCAUAGGACCCACUAAAGCCUGAGACAAUCAGAGCUGAAGUAGACAAUACCUCAUGCAUGUGGGAGCGAAGAGCGAUCUAACCAUCCGACCCUUAACCACAACAAGACACAUGUUGGAUUCUAAUUAAUUAGCUUACCAAUCCCAUGUAUAAGUAAAACUUUACUCUGAGGCAUAUGAAUGUGACCAUGCCAGAAGGUAUCACAGUAGCACACCAC
rnacentral:lncRNA from 1 species